GUGCUUUGGCAGCACAUAUACUGAAAUUGGAAUGACACAGAGAUUAGCGUCACCCCUGUGGAUUAGGAUAACACACAAAUUUGUCAGGCAUUCCAUAUUUUU